rnacentral:rRNA from 1 species
AUUGAACGCUGGCGGCAUGCCUUACACAUGCAAGUCGAACGGCAGCACGGGAGCUUGCUCCUGGUGGCGAGUGGCGAACGGGUGAGUAAUACGUCGGAACGUACCCUGAAGUGGGGGAUAACGUAGCGAAAGUUACGCUAAUACCGCAUAUUCUGUGAGCAGGAAAGAGGGGGAUCGCAAGACCUCUUGCUUUAGGAGCGGCCGAUGUCGGAUUAGCUAGUUGGUGAGGUAAAGGCUCACCAAGGCGACGAUCCGUAGCGGGUCUGAGAGGAUGAUCCGCCACACUGGGACUGAGACACGGCCCAGACUCCUACGGGAGGCAGCAGUGGGGAAUUUUGGACAAUGGGCGCAAGCCUGAUCCAGCCAUGCCGCGUGAGUGAAGAAGGCCUCGGUUGUAAGGUAC